rnacentral:rRNA from 1 species
CAGCAGCCGCGGUAAUACGUAGGUGGCAAGCGUUGUCCGGAAUUAUUGGGCGUAAAGAGGUCCCAGGCGGUUUCUUAAGUCUGGUGUGAAAGCCCCCGGCUCAACCCGGGGAGGGGCAUUGGAAACUGGGGAACUUGAGUGCAGAAGAGGAGAGUGGAAUUCCACGUGUAGCGGUGAAAUGCGUAGAGAUGUGGAGGAACACCAGUGGCGAAGGCGACUCUCUGGUCUGUAACUGACGCUGAGGAGCAAAAGCGUGGGGAGCGAACAGGAUUAGAUACCCUGGUAGUCCACGCCGUAAACGAGGAGUGCUAAGUGUUAGGGGGUUUCCGCCCCUUAGUGCUGCAGCUAACGCAUUAAGCACUCCGCCUGGGGAGUACGGUCGCAAGACUGAAACUCAAAGGAAUUGAGGG